rnacentral:lncRNA from 1 species
AUGCUGCGUAUAACUGAUAUUAACUAUAUGUCUCAGCGAUACCGUCUGGGCAGAACUAUUGUUCCAGCCACCAAAGAAAGAUUCGCAAAUAACCUGCCUGAUCUAUCUCAACUGCUAAUUGUACCCAAAAAUACACAUGAAUUAGACGAAAUGACUGACAACAUGGGCACUAUUUUCUCUAAUACAUUAGAAGCUGUUGCCCCGAUCAAAUUGAAAAAAGUUAGAGAAAAACGUACUGUACCAUGGUAUAACAGUAAUACUCACUCUCUUAAGAAAGAAACUCGUAGUCUUGAACGCAAAUGGAGAAAAACUAACUUGGAAGUUUUUAGGAUUGCAUGGAAAAACAGUAUGUCCAGCUAUAGACAGGCUCUAAAAACUGCUAGGGCAGAGCAUAUACACAAACUCAUUGAAAAUAACCAAAACAAUCCAAGGUUUUUAUUUAGCACAGUGGCUAAAUUAACAAAUUACCAGACGCCACCUGAUUCAAAUAUUCCACCAACGUUAAAUAGUAAUGACUUUAUGAAUUUCUUCACUGAUAAAAUAGAUAACAUUAGAAAUACAAUAGCGAAUGUAGAUUCUACAGCGUCUAACACUUCAGUUUCAUCCAUCGCACCCAAAGAUAAACUGCAGUGCUUUACAACCAUAGGACAGGAAGAGCUAAAUAAACUUAUCACUGUAUCUAAACCAACAACAUGUUUAUUAGAUCCUGUACCCACUAAAUUACUGAAAGAGCUGUUACCUGUAGCCGAAGAACCGCUUCUCAAUAUCAACUCGUCGUUAUCUUUAGGUCACGACCCAAAACCAUUCAAGCUGGCGGUUAUCAAGCCUCUUAUUAAGAAACCAAAACUAGAUCCUAGUGUACUGGCAAAUUAUAGGCCUAUUUCAAAUCUCCCAUUUAUGUCUAAAAUUUUAGAGAAAGUUGUGUCUGCUCAAUUGAGCACCUUCCUGCACAAAAAUGAUCUGUAUGAAGAAUUUCAGUCAGGUUUCAGGCCCCACCAUAGCACAGAAACUGCACUUGUUAAAAUUACAAAUGACCUGCUCCUUGCGUCAGACCAAGGCUGCAUCUCAUUUCUAGUCUUACUUGAUCUUAGUGCUGCAUUCGACACCAUAGAUCAUGACAUUCUCAUAUGA